UAGGGAAUCUUCCGCAAUGGGCGAAAGCCUGACGGAGCAACGCCGCGUGAGUGAUGAAGGUCUUCGGAUCGUAAAACUCUGUUAUUAGGGAAGAACAAAUGUGUAAGUAACUAUGCACGUCUUGACGGUACCUAAUCAGAAAGCCACGGCUAACUACGUGCCAGCAGCCGCGGUAAUACGUAGGUGGCAAGCGUUAUCCGGAAUUAUUGGGCGUAAAGCGCGCGUAGGCGGUUUUUUAAGUCUGAUGUGAAAGCCCACGGCUCAACCGUGGAGGGUCAUUGGAAACUGGAAAACUUGAGUGCAGAAGAGGAAAGUGGAAUUCCAUGUGUAGCGGUGAAAUGCGCAGAGAUAUGGAGGAACACCAGUGGCGAAGGCGACUUUUUGGUCUGUAACUGACGCUGAUGUGCGAAAGCGUGGGGAUCAAACAGG
rnacentral:rRNA from 1 species